UACGUAGGGGCAAGCGUUGUCCGGAAUUACUGGGCGUAAAGCGCACGCAGGCGGAAUUGUAAGUCCGUUGUAAAAUUCAGAGGCUCAACCUCUGUCUGUCGGCGGAUACUGCAAAUCUAGAGUAUGUGAGAGGGAAGUGGAAUUCCUGGUGUAGCGGUGAAAUGCGUAGAUAUCAGGAGGAACUCCGGUGGCGAAGGCGACCUCCUGGCACAAGACUGACGCUCAUGUGCGAAAGCUAGGGUAGCGAACGGGAUUAGAUACCCCU
rnacentral:rRNA from 1 species